UCCCUGAUGGUCCAGUGGUUAGGACAUGGCACUCUUACUGCGGUGGCCUAGGUUCAAUCCCUGGGUGGGGAA